rnacentral:rRNA from 1 species
CCAAACGAGCCUAGUGAUAGCUGGUUACUUGAUAAAAGAAUUUUAGUUCUACCUAAAGCUUCCAUAAGUAUAAUAAACUAACAUUAAUGCUUUAGAGUUAUUCAAAUAAGGUACAGCCUAUUUGAAUAAGGAAACAACCUAAACUAAUGGGUUAACUCUGCUAUAGUGUACCAAAGUGGGCCUAAAAGCAGCCACCUUCAACAAUAGCGUCAAAGCUUUUCUACACAAGCGCACUCAAUCUCUCAACCCAAUCUAAACCCUUUAUUUACAUCAAGUAAUUCUAUAUGUUUAUAGAACAUAAAAUGUUAAAACUAGUAACAAGAAGAAAACCCUUCUCUUAAAUGUGGGUGUAGGCCAGAAAGGAUAAACCACUGUCAAUUAACACUAAUGAUUCUUAAUUAGUAACGUCACAAGAAAACCCUAAUAAAACAAGUGUUAAACUAACACAAGAACAUUUCAAGAAAGAUUAAAAGAAAAAGAAGGAACUCGGCAAACACCAACCCCGCCUGUUUACCAAAAACAUCGCCUCUUGACAAGUAUAAGAGGUCCAGCCUGCCCAGUGACCUAGUUCAACGGCCGCGGUAUCCUAACCGUGCGAAGGUAGCGUAAUCACUUGUUCUUUAAAUGAGGACUAGUAUGAAUGGCACCACGAGGGUUACACUGUCUCCUUUUUUUAAUCAGUAAAACUAAUCUCCCCGUGAAGAAGCGGGGAUUUUUUUAUAAGACGAGAAGACCCUAUGGAGCUUUAAACAAAUUAACACUUGCUGCCCAAAAUACCUCUCCUAGGAGCACAAUAUAUAGCAUAGCAUUAUGAUUAAUAGUUUUUGAUUGGGGUGAUCACGGAGUAAAAAACAACCUCCAUGUCGAAGGGGUUCCCCCCUGAGCACAAAGCCACAACUUUAAGCACUAAAAAAUUAACGUUUAUUGACCCAAUAUUUUGAUCAACGAACCAAGUUACCCUAGGGAUAACAGCGCAAUCCACUUCAAGAGCCCCUAUCGACAAGUGGGUUUACGACCUCGAUGUUGGAUCAGGGCAUCCUAGUGGUGCAGCCGCUACUAAUGGUUCGUUUGUUCAACGAUUAAAGCCCU